GCCAAACAGGUUAUCAGAAAUGCUAGAGAAACAGAAGAAGAUGAGAAGAUUCUAUUCCUUCCUACAUCUCUGAUGUUGGCAUAGUGACAGGGCUUUAGGCUUCACCUCUGGAGUCCAGAUGAGGGUCCAGAGUUCAGUGAUUCCCAUGAAACAUUCCUCCAAUAUUGAAGAGGGGCCCUCACAAGACUGCAG